rnacentral:lncRNA from 1 species
UGCCUAUAAUCCCAGCUACUCGGGAGGCUGAGGCAGGAGAAUCACUUGAACCCGAAAGGCAGAGGUUGUGGUGAGCUGAGAGUGCUCUAUUGCACUCUAGCCUGGGCAACAAGAGCGAGACUCCAUCUCAAAAAUAAAAAAUAAAAACAGCUGGGCGUGGUGGCUCAUGCCUGUAAUCCCAGCACUUUGGGAGGCCGAGGCAGGCGAAUCACCUGAGGUUGGGAGUUCGAGAACGGCCUGACUAACAUGGAGAAACCCCGUAUCUACUAAAAAUACAAAAAAAUUAGCUGGGUAUGGUGGUGCAUGCCUGUAAUCCCAGCUACUUGGGAGGCUGAGGCAGGAGAAUUGCUUGAACCCGGGAGGCGGAGGUUGUGGUGAGCCAAGAUCGUGCCAUUGCACCCCAGCCUGGGCAACAAAAGCGAAAUUCCAUCUCAAAAAAAGAAAACGCGCCCCAUCUCGCUCCACCACAAGCGCCUUUAUAUACUCAAUGAUGGGUGGAGGAAAAGGGCCCAAGGGCUCACACCGCACAGGAGCCUUUACUCAAGUUUCAGCUAGUUUUCCUUCCCCUGCAUUUUGAACUCCUUUUAGUUGUUGGUGAUAUCCUUUGGUGUUCACUGCCUUUGUAAAACAAGUAAAUAAAGUAAGCGGAAGAUAUCUCUUUUGUUUCUGUAGUUGUUAACUGUUCUGGAUUUUCUUUACAAUGCAUCCAUUUGGGCAUAAUGUUAUCCCUCUUUUUAUCAGGUAAAUGUAGCAUCUAAAAGUAGCUUUGGAUCAAAUCAUGUUGAAUACCUGGUCAAAGUAAUGUUUUCUUCCUUGUUCUUGCAGAGAAACAAAUUCAUCAGAACAUUACCACUUGACCAGGUUUAAAAUUGUAUAACAGGCUGGGCAUGGUGGCUCAUGCCUAUAAUCCCAGCACUUUGGGAGGCCGAGGCAAGAGGAUCACUUGAGCCCAGGAGUUUGAGAGCAGCCUGGGCAACAUAGCAAGACCCUGUCUCCCAAAAAUUAAAAAAAAAAAAAAAAAACCAGGUGUGGUGGCACCUGCCUGUACUCCCAGCUACUCAGGAGGCUGGGGUGGGAGGAUCACUUGAGCCUGGGAGGUUGAGGCUACAGUGAGCCAUGGCUGCACCACUGCACUCCAGCCUGGGCAACAGAGUGAGACCCCAUCUCUAAAAAUAAAUUGUACAACAUCUAACUUCAAUGCCCAAUCUUAUAGAACAAAAGUAAAAUGUCUUUAUGUAAGACCCCAUUAUAUUUACAGUUCCCAACAGACCCACCAACUCUUAUAUACCCUUAUAUAACUUGUUUAGAAUUUAGCCAUGUGCAUUUUUAAACUGUGUUUGUCAACAUUAAGCCUCAGUACAGUCUCCAAAUUAUAUGCCACCAGAAAUGAAAUUCAGCAAAGGACAGGAUUGUUUUUAACAUACGCAAGCCAGCCUGGCCAACAUGGUGAAACCUUGUCUCUACUAAAAAUACAAAAAUUAGCUGGGCGUGGUGGUGGGCACCUGUAAUCCCAGCUACUUGGGUGGCUGAGGCACAAGAAUCGCUUCAACCUGGAAGCCGAAGGUUGCAGUGGGCUGAGAUUGUGCCACUGCACUCCAGCCUGGGCAACAGAGCGAGACUCUGUCUCAAAAAAAAAAAAAAAAAAAAACCCACCAAACCAAAAAUAUACUAUGCAAGGAAUAAUUCUAGAAGACAUUACAUAAUGCAAUACUUGCAACAUUUGCAACUAAUUUUCCCAUAGGGAUAAAUGGAAAUUUCAACUUAUUUCAAAUUUUGCACAUAUUAUGAAACCUUAUUAAUGUAUUUUUAUCAAACUAAAUCAGAUUUGUAUUUGAAUUGUUAGGAAAAACCAUGUGCAGUUUUGGCUGAUAAUUGAAGGAAAAAUAUCAAAUGCUUUGAAUUUUUUUUCUCUUUUUUCAAACCCUCUGCAGAGGUAGGAAGGUAUGAAUUUCUUUUUUAUGUCAAGAUGCAAAAACAAAUCAUGAUGCUUUUGUUGGGAGAAUUUUUGUAUUCAGUAUUUUGUAUGUACCUUUUUUUUUUUAAAUUGGAAAGCACAAUUCGGUUUAACAUUUAGCUUUGCUUGACUCCAGUGUAAGAUGAAGAUGACCUUGUCACAGCUCCCCUGACCUGAAGCAGAGCCCUUCCCAUCACUGACAGUGUUGGGGGUUGAGAGCCCCCCAGCAGAGCCCUUCCCAUCACUGACAGUGUGUCGGCAGCUGAGAGCUCCCCCAGCAGAGCCCUUCCCAUCACUGAACAGUGUUGGCGGCUGAGAGCCCCCCAGCAGAGCCCUUCCCAUCACUGACAGUGUUGGGGGCUGAGAGCCCCCCAGCAGAGCCCUUCCCAUCACUGAACAGUGUUGGCGGCUGAGAGCCCCCCAGCAGAGCCCUUCCCAUCACUGACAGUGUUGGGGGCUGAGAGCCCCCCUAGCAGAGCCCUUCCCAUCACUGACAGUGUCUGGGGCUGAGAGCCCCCCCUAGCAGAGCCCUUCCCAUCACUGACAGUGUUGGGGGCUGAGAGCCCCCCAGCAGAGCCCUUCCCAUCACUGACAGUGUCUGGGGCUGAGAGCCCCCCAGCAGAGCCCUUCCCAUCACUGACAGUGUCUGGGGCUGAGAGCCCCCCCUAGCAGAGCCCUUCCCAUCACUGACAGUGUCGGGUUGAGAGCCACCCCCAGCAGAGCCCUUGCCACGUACAGAGAUUUUCUGUCAGCAGUUUCCCAGUAUUUCAGACUCAUAAUCUGUGUUUAGCACUCCAGUGUUCUCUUGUAAUAGCCAGGUCUGGAAACGACCCAUGGAAAGAGGGGCCUUUGUAUUCUGCUAGAACACAGAGCAUAGUAGUAGAUCACUUUUCUGAAGAGCUUUUUAAAAUACAGCUAAUCAAGGAGUUUGCGAUUUCUCUUACUUUCUACAGCUCAGCAGUGACUAAUGAUGUGUGACUAUGCGAAUGAGUUUGAUGAAUUCGUAAAAACUAAGCGCUUAAAUGGUUAUAGAAAUGAAAACAUGGAUAUUUAGAAGCCUUUCUAUAUACACAGUGCAGUUGAGAUGGUUUACAGCAAAUUUCGUUUUAUUUCUGAAAAUGUUGUAAACAUGUAAUUAGUGAAAGAUUUUGUAAAACAUUGUCCUGUAUUUUUGUCUGUAAAUAUAUUGCAUAAGUUCUAAGUAUAAAUAUGUCAGUAUCAUGUAUGUUAUUUUAAAUUGCCUGUACGCCACUUUACACAUUGACAUUCAAAUAAAAGCCAACACUUCAGUGGCGUGUAAUAAAAGCUGAUUGGAGCGUGUUCAUACCUGAGGUGUGGUUCCCUUGGCAAAGGUGAAUCAAGGAAAGAGCAUCUCAUUUCCAGAGGGAAUGUCAGUGGAAAUGGGGGCUUCGGGACAAACUUUUGAGAUCAAAUUCAUUUUUUAAGGAAGUACAGAUAUCAAGACUGAGCUUUAUUUGGAGUUAGAUAGAAGGCUUAAUUCAUGAAAUGUAUGUGACACAUUAGGACAACUUUGCUCUUGGAAACCUUUAGCAUCCCAAGGCAUUGUUUUGACUCAUCAAGGCAAGCAUGAUCUGGUGGGUGCAUUUUUUUUCUAGGAGAAGAGGGAGAGUGACAGCUUUCCUAUUUGCCAGGCACAAGUUAGAUAUUUUCACACACCUGAUUUCUUUUCAUCUUAACACUCCAUAAAGUGGGGAUUGGUGGCUCUAGUGUUUCACUUGUCAAAAAUAUCUCCAAACUAGCCUUCCAGAGAACCUGUGUCCCCAUCUUUAUAGUUUGUAAAGUUGUAUAUCCUAACAUCCUAUUUCUAGCUUGUAUUUAUAAUUUGUAUCCCUGUUUCCUAGAAAAGUUGCUGAAGCAGCUUACAACUGGAUAUGUAUUCCAUGCCAUUUUCACCUGAAUAAAAACACCAAAGUGACGAUAAAU